UACGUAGGGUGCGAGCGUUGUCCGGAAUUAUUGGGCGUAAAGAGCUUGUAGGCGGUUUGUCGCGUCUGCUGUGAAAAUCCGGGGCUCAACCCCGGACUUGCAGUGGGUACGGGCGGACUAGAGUGUGGUAGGGGAGACUGGAAUUCCUGGUGUAGCGGUGAAAUGCGCAGAUAUCAGGAGGAACACCGAUGGCGAAGGCAGGUCUCUGGGCAUUAACUGACGCUGAGGAGCGAAAGCAUGGGGAGCGAACAGG
rnacentral:rRNA from 1 species